GACGUAGGGGGCGAGCGUUGUCCGGAUUUACUGGGCGUAAAGCGCGCGCAGGCGGCCCGUUAAGUCGGAUGGUGAAAACCUGGGGCUCAACCCCAGGCCUGCACCCGAUACUGGCGGGCUCGAGGCAGGUAGGGGAGAGUGGAAUUCCCGGUGUAGCGGUGAAAUGCGCAGAUAUCGGGAGGAACACCGGUGGCGAAGGCGGCUCUCUGGGCCUGUCCUGACGCUCAUG
rnacentral:rRNA from 1 species